GUGCGAGCGGCCCCUAGGCCCUGCCCCUGUCGCCUACUGCGCUCAGAAGGGGCCUCAGGGCCUGCCCCGGGUUGGGGGCGUUGGGGUGCCCUGGAUGGGGGCACCUUUAUCUGUCGUCCUGUCUCUGGGUGCGUGCACCCUCCUCCGUCCUUCCCUCUGUCGCCGCAGACCCUCUCCCCGAGGGCCCCUCCCGUCGCCACCCUGAAGGGUCCCUUCCCAAGCCCUUAGGGACGGCAGAGGACUUGGGUACCAGCAAGCAACCCCCAGGGCACGAGAAGAGCUCUUGCUGUCUGCCCUGCCUCACCCUGCCCCACGCCAGGCCCGGUGGCCCCCAGCUGCAUCAAGUGGAGGCGGAGGAGGAGGCGGAGGAGGGUGGCACCAUGGGCCCGGGCGGUGCCCUCCAUGCCCGGGGGAUGAAGACACUGCUGCCAUGGACAGCCCGUGCCAGCCGCAGCCCCUAAGUCAGGCUGUCCCUCAGUUACCAGGGUCUUCGUCAGAGCCCUUGGAGCCUGAGCCUGGCCGGGCCAGGAUGGGAGUGGAGAGUUACCUGCCUUGUCCCCUGCUCCCCUCCUACCACUGUCCAGGAGUGCCUAGUGAGGCCUCGGCGGGCAGUGGGACCCCCAGAGCCACAGCCACCUCUACCACUGCCAGCCCCCUUCGGGACGGUUUUGGUGGGCAGGAUGGUGGUGAGCUGCGGCCGCUGCAGAGUGAAGGCGCUGCAGCGCUGGUCACCAAGGGGUGCCAGCGAUUGGCAGCCCAGGGCGCCCGGCCUGAGGCCCCCAAACGGAAAUGGGCCGAGGAUGGUGGGGAUGCCCCUUCGCCCAACAAGCGGCCCUGGGCCAGGCAAGAGAACCAGGAGGCAGAGCGGGAGGGUGGCAUGAGCUGCGGCUGCAGCAGUGGCAGUGGUGAGGCUAGUGCUGGGCUGAUGGAGGAGGCGCUGCCUUCUGCGCCUGAGCGCCUGGCCCUGGACUAUAUCGUGCCCUGCAUGCGGUACUAUGGCAUCUGCGUCAAGGACAGCUUCCUGGGGGCAGCACUGGGCGGCCGCGUGCUGGCCGAGGUGGAGGCCCUCAAACGGGGUGGGCGCCUGCGAGACGGGCAGCUAGUGAGCCAGCGGGCGAUCCCGCCGCGCAGCAUCCGUGGGGACCAGAUUGCCUGGGUGGAAGGCCAUGAACCAGGCUGCCGAAGCAUUGGUGCCCUCAUGGCCCACGUGGACGCCGUCAUCCGCCACUGCGCAGGGCGGCUGGGCAGCUACGUCAUCAACGGGCGCACCAAGGCCAUGGUGGCGUGUUACCCAGGCAACGGGCUCGGGUACGUAAGGCACGUUGACAAUCCCCACGGCGAUGGGCGCUGCAUCACCUGUAUCUAUUACCUGAAUCAGAACUGGGACGUUAAGGUGCAUGGCGGCCUGCUGCAGAUCUUCCCUGAGGGCCGGCCUGUGGUAGCCAACAUCGAGCCACUCUUUGACCGGUUGCUUAUUUUCUGGUCUGACCGGCGGAACCCCCACGAGGUGAAGCCAGCCUAUGCCACCAGGUACGCCAUCACUGUCUGGUAUUUUGAUGCCAAGGAGCGGGCAGCAGCCAAAGACAAGUAUCAGCUAGCAUCAGGACAGAAAGGUGUCCAAGUACCUGUAUCACAGCCGCCUACACCCACCUAGUGGCCAGUCCCAGAGCCGCAUGGCAGACAGCUUGCCCUGACUUCAGGAGAGCCCUGGGCCUGUGCUGGCUGCUCCUUCCCUGCCACCGCUGCUGCUUCUGACUUUGCCUCUGUCCUGCCUGGCGUGGAGGGCUCUGUCUGUUGCUGAGGACCAAGGAGGAGAAGAGACCUUUGCUGCCCCAUGAUGGGGGCUGGGAUUGUGACCUGGACAGGGGGCAGCCUUGGAGGCCACCGUUACCAACUGAAGCUGGGGGCCUAGGUCCUACCCUGUCUGGUCAUGACCCCAUUAGGUGUGGAGAGCUGGGAGGAGGCAUUGUCACUUCCCACCAGGAUGCAGGACUUGGGGUUGAGGUAGGUUUGUGUACCCGGGAUUUGGCAUAAGGCUGGACGCACAAGGGAGAGAUUGUGGCCGGCCCUCACCUCGCCCCAUCUGGAACUCAUGAUGCGGAAGUUGUCACUGAAGAGGUUCAGGACCUCAGGAACUCCGGGUCCCCGUAGCCAUAGCGGUUCCCGAAGACAAGAACAGAUAACAUUGGAUACAGCAUUAUCCAGUAGCCGCACGGGGUCAAACGGGGCUCCUGGGGGUAGGAACAGGACGGUGGUCAUAAGGCGUGGUCCUGCCCCCAGCCAGCCCCAUGGGCUUACUGGCUUUCUUCCACCCAAAUACCUUCCCAUGGCCCCAUCUUGGCAGUCCAAGGGCCACUCCCACACCAGGCCCUUCGCCCUCCCGGCCAGGGCGAAGCAAUGGUGGCUUGAAAUUCGUCUAGCAGACAAGCCGCCUCCUCCAGGACGCGCGCCUUGAUGGUCCGCGUACCCAACCUGAACUUCUUAAGCGCUCCAAGUGCAAAAUUGCGCAGUGUCCACCAGCGCGGCCCGUUAGAAAACAAGAUUCCUGUGGUGGGGACGGGAAAGGAGGCGGGCCCGGGAGCCGGCCACGCCCUAUCCAGGAAGCGCCGGGUCACUGGCUACAUCCCUUUCGGGGCCUCCGACUCCUGCGGCAGGCUUCGUUCGCUUUGCCGCUUUACCAGACCUCCAAGUGCCCUAUCCACACAUUGGCCCCGCCUUUGCUGGGCUCGAUCCCUGACCUAGGCUGGCUCUCGGACUUUGACUCUUAGGCUCUUCUCUCCUGUUGGCUGCAGGAUGAACCUCCAUUCAAACCUUACGCUUUAGCACCGCCCCGCCCUCUCUCGGCCGUUUGCCCCUCAUUAGCUGGAGUCUCUAUUAGGCCCCGCCCCCAUUUGCCCGCCUCUACCAUUUAAGGGCCCAGCCUAGAGCGUCCGGGCCGGCACGUCCAGCGCCGGGGCCUCAGUGUUUCCGCGUGUGAAGCGUUCGAAGACAGCCAUGGACCCGCGGCCGGAGACCGCAUCCGCCUGUAGCACUAACGCGUCCCGCAGCGCUGCGUAGCCGCACAGCACCACUGCAGGGCACGGGCCCAGCUGCACAGUGAACACCCGGCCCCAGCGGCCGGAGAGCUACGGGGAGCCGGUGCUCAGCGGGUGCCCAUCGCGUUCCUCAUCGGAGCCAUUGCCCCCAGGUCUGUCUUCCUUCAGACCCAGGAGUCCUCGUCUCAGACCCUCAUUCCUCAGGGCCAGGAAUUCAGAUCCCCAGCUCCUUCCUCCCUGAGAUCCAGGAGUCCAGGCCCCCACUUCCUUCUUCCCUUGGGACCUAGAAGUCCAGCUUCCCAGCCUACUGCACCCUCAGAGUCGUCUCCUGGGCCCUCAGUACUCAGCCUCCCCGUCUUGAACCAGGAGAACAGACCCUCUGCUCCCCUCUUCCCACAACCUGAUUUCCUGCUCUGGGAUCCUUCGUUACGACCCAGUGUCCCGGCCCCAGGCUCUCCACUCCCUAUUCUCCUUUCCUAGUACUCAGCAGUCGGGAGCACUCAUCCUUCCUGUCCUUCCUCAAGAUCAUAGAGUACAAGCCCUCAGCUGUCUUCAUUCAGGAGGAGUUCUAGUCCCCAGCCCCACCUCCACGAAUCCAGAAUUCCGUUCCCCUAUUCCUGUCGGGAAUGGAGCGCGCGGUCCAGACCUCCGGACUGCAGCUGCAAGUUCCCCAGCAAUGGGAGCGGCCUGGGCCGGGGAGGUAGGGACCCCCGCAUCUAAGCGCGGCACCCAACCUACCCCCACCACGCCAGCACCAGCACCAGAAGCCACAACAGCAGCGCUGUGAUACCCGCGAGCAUCAUGCCUGCAAUUCUCCACGCCUGCACCCCUUCACCUCUAUUUGAUUUCCAAGGGGUCUUAGGGGUGGAGCGGGGCGGAGACCCGAUGUGGGAGGAGUGGGUGUCUCCGGGCUGCUCAUUCCGUGGAUUCCUCAACCCGACGUCUCCACCCCGCCCCCAGCCCUAGUGGAACUGUGCCCUGGCUCCCCCUGGCUUUUUUUGUGUGCCUGUCUCAGCCUGUCCUACUUAGCAACUUUCGUGCACCAGCAUUUUCAUGUCAACACACCUGGCCAACAGGUGCACCCUCCUGAGCCCCCAGCAUCUUUGAGUCCAAUUUACUUGGCCUGUAGGUGUGUAUUCCUCAAUCUCCGGGCCACCUUUGGGCCUCCUGAGUGCUGUACCCUGUACUUCUGAUUCCUAAAUACACACCGACUCUCAAAUACA